CCGCUCCGAGAUGGGCUCGCGGCCUAUCAGCUUGUUGGUGGGGUAACGGCCUACCAAGGCAACGACGGGUAGCUGGUCUGAGAGGACGAUCAGCCACACUGGGACUGAGACACGGCCCAG
rnacentral:rRNA from 1 species